CACGGAAGUUUUCAGAGAUGAGAAUGUGCCUUCGGGAACCGUGAGACAGGUGCUGCAUGGCUGUCGUCAGCUCGUGUUGUGAAAUGUUGGGUUAAGUCCCGCAACGAGCGCAACCCUUAUCCUUUGUUGCCAGCGGUCCGGCCGGGAACUCAAAGGAGACUGCCAGUGAUAAACUGGAGGAAGGUGGGGAUGACGUCAAGUCAUCAUGGCCCUUACGACCAGGGCUACACACGUGCUACAAUGGCGCAUACAAAGAGAAGCGACCUCGCGAGAGCAAGCGGACCUCAUAAAGUGCGUCGUAGUCCGGAUUGGAGUCUGCAACUCGACUCCAUGAAGUCGGAAUCGCUAGUAAUCGUGGAUCAGAAUGCCACGGUGAAUACGUUCCCGGGCCUUGUACACACCGCCCGUCACACCAUGGGAGUGGGUUGCAAAAGAAGUAGGUAGCUUAACCUUCGGGAGGGCGCUUACCACUUUGUGAUUCAUGACUGGGGUGAAGUCGUAACAAGGUAACCGUAGGGGAACCUGCGGUUGGAUCACCUCCUU
rnacentral:rRNA from 1 species